UGAAAAAUUCACAGUCACUGUGGGCUCUGUGGGUAAUAUCCAUUAUAGAAUUCGGUGGUAAUAUCCAAGUAAUAUCAGUCGGAACGAUACGAUCAUACCAAUACAGGUCUUUUGUUUGCUUGGAAUUUGUUUGCUGUUGGAGCGAAACAUCUGUACAGCAAGGCCAUACAAGAGGUUUAUAUAGCCUUGAUACAAGAUUUGUUCUGGGCAGUUAUGAAGGAGCAGUUACUGACCAUCGCCUCUAUAGUUGCAUCACUGGCAGUUGUUUUGGCAUUUGUUGCCCUUGGCUGGUACAUUGUCUGGAAGUGUUUCCUGUCUCGGUUCAAGUUUGUGCGGGAGAUGCUGGAUGCCGGACGUGAGCCCUCCCCAGAAGCGGCGGAGCUGCGGCGUGUCAGACAAAGGACCAGCAGGAGAGUGCGGCGCGAGUGACUGGUCAAGACUGGGCCUCGGGCUGACCUGGGGUCGCCACCACACACCGGGCACGGAACUGGAUCCCCCCAGUGGAUCAUACUGCCACAGCACUGUGUGGGAUCCAGCCACCAGUCGAACGGUGUCUGGAGUAUCGAUGGACAAAUUUGGCACUGCUUGGGUACAGAGAUGAAGAUUUCCACCCAAUGCUGCCGGUGGAUGAGUACCAUAUUCGGCCACUGUUCUGUAGCAAUGAUGUAAUUUAGCGGUGGGGAAAGAGGGCAACCGUAGCAUGAAGCUCCUCUUUAGGUAGCUACACGCCAAAGUAGACAAAUGGAUCUUGCUGGAUAGUGAACUGUAUUGGGCUUGAAGGUACUGCAGUGCUGCUUCAAUAGGAUUGAGCACUUACCAAAUGUUUCUGCGUGAUCGUGGCCAAGGAAAAUGUCGCUUUUCCGAUGUCGAUUUUUUUUCCAUUGUCGCAGUGCUUUGUUUACAUCAUCGAAUCUAAUGAACUCCUGCCGGUCAUUUAUUCAAUUCUGAGCGCCACGCAUAAUAAUGUGCAUUCUGUCUGUUACUGCUGCUCUUGAUUAUGUGCAUCUCCCGACUGACCCGGUGAGGCUUGGUGUAUCUCGAACGAGUCUAGGGAUUUUCCAGAUUCACUCAAUUUCCAGAUUGUGCAUGUUUUCCGUCGUGUUUGUGUCCUCUGGAAGGGGUUUCAGCCGUGGACUGUUUGGUAUGUGCGAUACGUUACGCGGAUUCUAGUGUGGGGACUGGGCUACUCAGCGGUAUCGGUGUUACUGUUCCAGUGUGGUGGCUGUGCCGGCUUAUUGCUUCCCCACCGGUUGGUCUCGUGAGGGCGGGGAAUGAUGGCCUGCAAUGUCGUAUCCGGUUUGACUUGUGUGUGCGGUAAAUGGAAUGUGCCAGUGUAUAUUUUUAUGGUGAUAAAUGGGCGAUUUCGUA